ACCUGACUGCUAUCGGAUUGAUACUAAGCCAUGCGAGUCAUUGUAGCAAUACAAGGCAUACGGCUCAGUAACGCGUAGUCAACCUACCCUAUGGACGGGAAUAACCUCGGGAAACUGAGUAUAAUGCCCGAUAGAACAUUAUGCCUGGAAGGGUUUAUGUUCCAAAUGAUUUAUCGCCGUAGGAUGGGACUGCGGCCUAUCAGUUUGUUGGUGAGGUAAUGGCCCACCAAGACUAUUACAGGUACGGGCUCUGAGAGGAGGGGCCCGGAGAUGGGUACUGAGACACGGACCCAGGCCCUAUGGGGCGCAGCAGGCGAGAAAACUUUGCAAUGUGCGAAAGCACGACAAGGUUAAUCCGAGUGGUUUCUGCUAAAGGAACCUUUUGUUAGUCCUAGAAACACUAACGAAUAAGGGGUGGGCAAGUUCUGGUGUCAGCCGCCGCGGUAAAACCAGCACCUCAAGUGGUCAGGAUGAUUAUUGGGCCUAAAGCAUCCGUAGCCUGCUCUGUAAGUUUUCGGUUAAAUCUGUAUGCUCAACAUACAGGCCGCCGGGAAUACUGCAGAGCUAGGGAGUGGGAGAGGUAGACGGUACUCGGGAGGAAGUGGUAAAAUGCUUUGAUCUCUCGAUGACCACCUGUGGCGAAGGCGGUCUACCAGAACACGUCCGACGGUGAGGGAUGAAAGCUGGGGGAGCAAACCGGAUUAGAUACCCGGGUAGUCCCAGCCGUAAACUAUGCAAACUCAGUGAUGCAUUGGCUUGUGGCCAAUGCAGUGUUGCAGGGAAGCCGUUAAGUUUGCCGCCUGGGAAGUACGUACGCAAGUAUGAAACUUA
rnacentral:rRNA from 1 species